rnacentral:rRNA from 1 species
AUUGAACGCUGGCGGCAGGCCUAACACAUGCAAGUCGAACGAGUGGCAGACGGGUGAGUAAUGUAUGUGAAACUGCCUGAUGGAUGGGGUUAGCUACUGGAAACGGUACCAACUACCGCAUAACAUCAGCUGUUACGAGAUGGGCUUAGCUUGUUGGUGGGGUAACGGCGUACCAAGACGACGAUCCCUAGCUGGUAUGCGAGGAUGACCAGCCAGACUGGAACAGAGGCACGGUCCAGACGCCUACGGGAGGCAGCAGUGGGGAAUAUUGCACAAUGGGCGCAAGCCUGAUGCAGCCAUGCCGCGUGUGUGAAGAAGGCCUUCGGGUUGUAAAGUACUUUAAGCGGGGAGGCGUUACCCGCAGAAGAAGCACCGGCUAACUCCGUGCCAGCAGCCGCGGUAAUAC